AAAAAUUGAGCUUAAAAAAUUGAAUUAUAAUGGCGUUUUUAGUGGAAACGCCACAAAAAGGGAAAAUCAAAAUCCCUAAUUUUUUGUUACCCGCUCAUUACUCCCUCUUCUUCUCAUCUCCGUCGCGCCCUAAAUCCCCCAAAUAACUCUCAAAAUUUGCCCCCAAAUUUCCCAUUUCCAGCAACACCAAGUCAAUACACCUACACCAUUCACACUUCUUUUUUCUUUUCAUUUCUUCAAAGGUAGUAGUAGAAAGGGGAGUUCUAGGAAAUCUGGUCGAGAUUCGGCUGAGAAGAAAGAGCCAAUGACACCUAGAAGUGAUAGGCCUACAAGGGAAACGAAAGUCGUAGAAAGGUAUUCAGCUCCUUCUGUUGCAAGGUCUUCCUCGUUUAAGAAAAAAGAACACCCUUUCGGUUUCAGUUUGAGGGUGAGUUUCUCACUAGAAAAUUGAAUUUGCUUUUUCAUGUCUGGUCUUUUUCUUUCUUCUCUUAUUAUUACAACUUGGGUCAUAAUGGAAUAUUGAUCUGUUCAGAUUCAGGUACCCGACCUUUCCCAUUUCCCCUUUUCCUUUUCCUCAUCUUUUAAUUUAUGAUCGAUUGAUUUGCUUAUUAAUUUGUUAAAGAAUUACUAGCACCUAAGGUUUUGUUCUCGUAGGCUUUUUUAAUUAGUUGGAAAAAUAAAUUUCGGUUUGACUGCCAUUGCAGUUAGGUAUGGAUCUGCUUAGGUUUUUAAUUUCAAUUUUUUUUAGCUAAAGUAUGGAUCUUUUCUCUUUUUUGAGAAAUUAAUUUAGUGGUUAUGGGAUUUUUUUUUGAAACUGAGUAUAUAUGGGGAUUUCAAUUUAUGCUUAUUCUAUAUUUUGGGCAUGUUAUAAAUUGUAAUGUAAAUGACUUGUGGGGUUUUCAUUGUUGCUGCAAAUAUAUAAUUGGUUUUGAUGUAAAACACAUAUGCAUCAGGAAAUAUUUUUAAGGCUGGAAAGUUGGUAAUAUGCUCAAAAAUUGCUAUUCCCCCCCUUGAAUUUGAUUUUGUUGUGGCGUUCUUUGCUUAUGAAUGUGUUGUGAGUCCCACUAACGAGUUCACUAAUGCCUGCUGCUGUUUUGAUUAUGCUAAUGAUCAGUAUUGAGUAAAUAUGGGUAUUCUGUAGAACUUGCAUCAUGGCCUUUUGGCUGAUUUUUUUUCUCCUUUGAUUUUAUAUUUUUAUUCUACAUUGCUGAUCUUAUUUGUUUGAUGGUAAUAAAUGAAAUUCCUUUUCUGGUGCUUGUGAUCUGCUAAAAUUUGGCAUUACUAAAGUUUAAUGCAAAUUACUUGUUUCAUAUCUGGGCUACUGUCAGUUGGGCGGUUGCAAGGAACUGAUGUCAGGCAUGGAGGUCGCCAAAGAUCAAGAACUAGUAGACGGAACUAUUGCACAGGAAUCUGGAAAAUCCAUGCCGUCAUCUCAACAGGAGGUCUUGUUCUUAUCUUCACUAUGGAAUGUUGAUUGAUUAAAGAUCAUAGCUAUGUACUGGAUUAAAAUUAUUUUUCUGGAGUUCUUCAGUUGAGGUGAUUCACUCUUUUUUCUCAUGUCUAUUUUAGGUAUUAAUUCAAGCCCUCCGUCCCAAAUUGCAGGUAUUAAUUCAAUGCUUGUAAGAGAUAUUUAAUAAUAUUCCCUUCUUGUGUAAUGUAAGUUGACUUAAUUUUGGUCCAAAUCUGAUGGAUAACAUAGUGAGAAUUGUAUAUGUAAGUAUGUAUUUUAAGAAUUGUAGUAAAUUCCUCUGAUUAGUGAGAGCAAUAGAAUAGCCAGUCCAUUGUUAAUGCUGCAGGACAGUGCUGUCUAAAGAAAGUUCAAAUCAAUAUUGUCCACUUUUGUAGGAUUCAUUUAUUGGUCUAUAUUUUAGAUUAAUCCGGUCCACUUUUCAGAUUAUUUAUAUUGGUCACACAUGCGCCUCUUUAAUUGGUUCAAAAGAUAGUAAACAAGCUUUACUCGCUUUUAGAUGUCUGGAGGGACAAAAGGGGUUUCGAUAACAACUGAACCAAAGUGGGUUACUUUAUAGGUUCCAUAUGGGGUUCUCAAACAACUGGAGUUUUGGGAUUUACUUGCUUUAUAUUUAUGUUUGGAAAUAGAAGAUGAUAUAAAAAGUCUUAUCUAGCAUUUGCACUAACGUGACUUAAAGUUUAAGAUAUGCAACUACCUUAAUUACAUCUUUUUAUUUUGGUACUGUAUUGACUUGGUGUGGUCGUUUCUUCAACCUAAUUAACUUGUAUUUCAUACCGAAUUUAACAUUUUAUAAAGAGUAACUGAAUGAUUUCUGAUACAAGAUGUUCCUGGAAUCAUGUUGUAAUGGAAUUUUUAUGCAGUUUGUCUUUGUAAUUUCAAGCACUUUACUUCCAGGAAAGAGAAAAAUAAAAGGGUUUGAGAUGAUUUUCAUUGCAAUUCUCCUUUUUUUCCUGUCCAAUAUUUUUCCUCAGAUGUGUGUUCCCAUGGUCUACUUUUGAUUAAUCACUUUUUCAUGUUUUGAGACCUCAUGAUUAAUUACAACUAAUAAGUAAAAAAACCAUCAAUAAUUGAGGUUUUUUAUAUGAUAGAAGAUAUUUUUUAUGCUGUUAUAUCAUUCAUAAAAGUUAAUUUUUUUUUAUGUUAUGUUAAUUUUAGAUGUUAACUUUGAAAUACAUUUGUCCGAUUCUCAAUGCAUUUUCUUAUAUAUUUUCUACCCAACAUCCAUUCUUUGGUCACAAAAUGAUUAAAAUCAUAGACUUCUUUUGAUGUUUUUAUCUUAUAUAUGAUUAAAAUAUAUAUGAUCUAAAAGCAAGAAACAUAUGUAAGGUGAUUUUGCUAUUCAUUUUGCUCUUAGAUUAAUUUGUCCUUGUAGUAACUGAAUGUUAACUUUAUAUUUUGCAGGAGUUGAGAAGGAAAGAGGAUGCAAUAGCACGAGGUAGGUUCUUUUUUAUUUUUUUAUCUUGAUGAUUCCUGAGUUUAUCCAUUACCAGUUUGAUUUUGACAUGAGUCCCUUAAACAUCUUUUGCUUUUUUCUUCCAAAAGUUUAACGUCUUUCCAUUAGAGUUACAUCGUCAAAUUUAUCUCCUCUUCCUUUUGAUCGACAUUUUCAAUACUUUGGGUUCAAGAUCCCCUAUAUGCUAGAGGUAUAGAGUUCAAACUUUGGCAUAAGCUUGUUUUUCAGCAAGUAUGGCAUUUUUUGCUCAUCUUCAUCGAUUAGACAUUUCAAAGUGACUAAAGAUAAUACCAAAUUUGUUUGAAUGAAAAAUAAUUACUUUAUCAAUGCUAUUGGACAUAGAAAUUAAGAUUAUGAUAACUAAAAACCUGUGAUAUUUGUGAGCUUAAUAAAAAAAGUGAAACAUGUUAUGAGUCGCAUGAAAUCGAGAAAGGAGAUAGACAUUAAACACAUGAGGUUUGUCAUGACAUCUCCUUUAACCUUCAUUUGACCCUUUUUGUCUUUUUCAUAUAUGCUACUUAUUUUCUUUUUGAGGCCUUUACAAGUCCAUCAACAUGAAACUGGACUUAUGCCCAGGGAUUCAAAUUGCGGUCCGCUACCGAAAUAGCGGCCAUUAUAUAGCGGUAGCGGCGCCGUCUGAAACUGCAAUUGCUGAAAAUAGCGGUGUGAAGCGGAUUCACUCUGAUAGCGGUGGAUCACGGCCGCAAUUUAAUGGGUAACGGCCAAUUGCGGCAAUAACGGGCCGCUAUUCCCGUUAUUUUCCGUUAACAGCAAACUAAAAAAAAAUCAUCUCCUCUAACAAAAAUCAACAGAAACACUGAAACAACAGCAAGAAGGAAUCAAAGUCCAAAGAUUCAAAACUCAACAGCAAUAGAAAAUAUAAAAUCCUAUUUCUCAUACCCAUGGAUCGUGAAUACUGAAUACCUCAACAAAACAAGCAGCAAAAGCAGUACAAAGAAAAGUUUCAGCGAAAGAAAAACUUAGGAUUUGCCAUUAGGAACUGAAGAUGAGAAAUGGGUAGCAGUAGCACUUAGCAAUAGCAGAGAUCUGGGCGAAUAAAAAAAGGGGAAAAAAAGUUGGUUGAGUAACAGUGAAAGAGGAAAAGAAAAUGAAAAGCCGUCGGGGUUGAGUGGGUUUGCCAUCAGGGUGUGCCGGCGUGGAUUAGGAGGCGGCAGUGGCGAAAAGUUUGUGUGAAAACUGAAAACAGCAAAGGCUGGCCGCUGCCCGCUGGUGAAAAAAGGUUGAAUUUGGUGAAAACACUAUUCCUAUUUUGUUUGUCUAGGGCCCUAGCAAUUUGAGAAGUUGGGGAUUUCUAAUAACAAGGAAAGGUUUGAAACAGAAUAGAGGGAACCGUUUCAUUUCCUUUAUAUGUUAUUAGAUUUAUAAUUUUAGUUUAUAUGUUAUUUUUAAUUAAUAUUGUAAUUAUGAUUUAUAAUGAUAAUUAUUUAUUAUUUAUUAUUAUUUUAAAUUUUCAUAAUUUUUAUUACUUAGGGUUUGUUUAGAGUUACACACAAAAUUAUAUUAAUAAAAGUUCAUAAGUGUUAGAAAAUACUCUAAAAAUUAUUAUUUUUAUAAUUAUAAUUAUAAUUACUAUGUUUUACAAUAAGUUGUGCGACUUUUAAAAAAAUUCACGACCGCGAUACCCGCAGUAACUGCAAUAGCGUCCGUUAUGUCCGCGACCGCGAUAAACGCGACGCGACCGAAAACGUGACCGCGACCGCAAUUUAAAUCCCUGCUUAUGCCUGUCACUUAUUUACAGCGACAUUAGCAUUUACGAUUAGCCUAGCAUCAGUUUUUUUAUUAUGGGUUUACUUUUUACUGAUUUCACUUUCGUUACAGUAAAUGGUAUAGCUAAUUUCCUUGUUUUGCUCAAUCAGGUGACCGAGAUUCUGUUUAACAAUUUUCUUUAUUGCUGGAACAAGUCUUAACCAAGAUCAAGAUCAAAGUACUUCACUAAGUUAUAUAUGCAGGCAUUGCAAUACUUUGGCUUCAUCUAAAGCUUGAACCAGCCCUCUGUUGUAUAUUGUUUCUUCUUCUUUUCUGAUCUUUUUCCUUUGAUUAAUGAGAUGUGAUGAUGAUUUGGCAUUAUUUUCUCACCAGGAUGAAUUAUGUUUUAGAAAUUCUAAUACUUUGUGUGUCUUUGUGUGUGUGUGUUUUUCUUAUGUAUUAAAUUACAUAUUGAAUCAAUGUUUAUGUAUUAAAUUUAAAUUCAUUAAUUUUUAUAUUUAGUUUUGAAGUUUAAAUUUUAAUGAAAAAUUUAAUUUAAUUAAUAUUUUUUAUUUAUCC
rnacentral:lncRNA from 1 species